rnacentral:rRNA from 1 species
AUUGAACGCUGGCGGCAUGCCUUACACAUGCAAGUCGAACGGUAACGCGGGGCAACCUGGCGACGAGUGGCGAACGGGUGAGUAACGCAUCGGAACGUGCCCAGUAGUGGGGGAUAGCCCGGCGAAAGCCGGAUUAAUACCGCAUACGACCUACGGGUGAAAGGGGGGGAUCGCAAGACCUCCCGCUAUUGGAGCGGCCGAUGUCAGAUUAGGUAGUUGGUGGGGUAAAGGCCUACCAAGCCGACGAUCUGUAGCUGGUCUGAGAGGACGACCAGCCACACUGGGACUGAGACACGGCCCAGACUCCUACGGGAGGCAGCAGUGGGGAAUUUUGGACAAUGGGCGCAAGCCUGAUCCAGCCAUGCCGCGUGCGGGAAGAAGGCCUUCGGGUUGUAAACCGCUUUUGUCAGGGAAGAAACGCGCUGAGUUAAUACCUCGGCGUAAUGACGGUACCUGAAGAAUAAGCACCGGCUAACUACGUGCCAGCCGCCGCCGUAAUAC